UACGGAGGAUGCAAGUGUUAUCCGGAAUCACUGGGCGUAAAGCGUCUGUAGGUGGUUCGAAAAGUCCACUGUUAAAAAUUGAGGCUUAACUUCAAAGAUGCCGUGGAAACUUUCAAACUAGAGUAUGGUAGGGGUAGAGGGAAUUUCCAGUGGAGCGGUGAAAUGCGUAGAUAUUGGAAAGACCACCGAUGGCGAAGGCACUCUACUGGGCCGCUACUGACACUGAGAGACGAAAGCUAGGGGAGCAAAUGGG
rnacentral:rRNA from 1 species